AGAGACACAGAGGGGCUGGGGAAAGGGAACAAGAGGCACACAGAGGAGGUGAGGAAGGGGAGAAAGAGACACACAUAGGGGCUCGGGAGAGAGAUACACAAAAGGGGCUUACGGGAGAAAGAGACAAACAGUGGGGUUUGGAAAGGCUAAUUGACAAACAGAGGGGUUGGGGGCAAUAGACACAGGAAAGAGGAUUGGGGGAGAAAGAGACCCAGAGGGACUGGGGAAGGGGAACAAGAGAAACACAG